CACUCCUGCGGGAGGCAGCAGUGGGGAAUUUUGGACAAUGGGCGAAAGCCUGAUCCAGCAAUGCCGCGUGUGUGAAGAAGGCCUUCGGGUUGUAAAGCACUUUUGUCCGGAAAGAAAUCCUUGGCUCUAAUACAGUCGAGGGAUGACGGUACCGGAAGAAUAAGCACCGGCUAACUACGUGCCAGCAGCCGCGGUAAUACGUAGGGUGCGAGCGUUAAUCGGAAUUACUGGGCGUAAAGCGUGCGCAGGCGGUUUGCUAAGACCGAUGUGAAAUCCCCGGGCUCAACCUGGGAACUGCAUUGGUGACUGGCAGGCUAGAGUAUGGCAGAGGGGGGUAGAAUUCCACGUGUAGCAGUGAAAUGCGUAGAGAUGUGGAGGAAUACCGAUGGCGAAGGCAGCCCCCUGGGCCAAUACUGACGCUCAUGCACGAAAGCGUGGGGAGCAAACAGGAUUAGAAACCCGGGUAGUCCCA
rnacentral:rRNA from 1 species